rnacentral:lncRNA from 1 species
CCGACUGGACAAAAUCGCUCAUUCAUGCAAAUGAAUACAAUCAUGCAUUAAUACUCAAAAGAACAACGGGCCACAUACAAAGUAGAUGAACAUAUAGCAACAAGAAAAUAGUAAUCACAGAGUACUAAUUCUCAUCACACGUGUAUGGAACAAUAGAAAGAAAUUGAAUACAGGGAAUACUACACCACUUAUUCUAAUAAUAGCACACUGUGGCUCCGUAUUGGGUCUCCUCCGUCAAGUGUCGUAUAUAAGUAUCCCAUCAAUUAUGUGUUGCCGGUGGUUUGCACUUCGGAGGCGGCUUCGGUUUCGGUUCAGGUUUAGGCUUGGGCUCCGGCUUUGGUUCGGGUUUCGGCAUCGGCUCGGGCUUAGGACCUGGCUUUGGUUUGGAGCAGGGCUCGGGCUUUGGUUUUGGCAUUGGCUUGGGCUUGGGUUCUGGUUCGGGCUUCUCUCCGGGCUUUUGUUUAGGCUUUGGUUUGGGUUUUGGCAUCGGUUCAGGUUUGCAGGGCUCUGGCUCUGGUUGUGGCGCAGGUUUGGACAUUGGCUCUGGUUGUGGCGCAGGUUUGGACAUUGGCUCUGCUUUGGGUUCUGGCUUUGGCUCUAGCUCUGCAAAAUUCUCGACAGCAGCAAGGCCUCGGCCAGCCGCAACAACUUGGUUGAGAGUGGAGGCUGCAACUACCCCGAUGAGGAGCACGGCGAGGAGGCGAUGCCUCGCCAUUGCUGCCUACUUCUUGUGCUUGCAAGUUGUGUUGCACCUGUUGUGGUUUGUGUGUGUUUGUGUAUGUUGUGUGGAGAAUGGAGAUACAUAUGGUGUGGUUUUAUAGGCAGGGUGAAACAAAGCAGAUCUAGAUGCUGCAUUAAUUAACAUUGCAGCUAGCUAGCUGGAGUGACAAGUAGUACUGCGUAACAUGGCAAUGGAGCUAUAUUGGUCGAUUAGUUGAUUACAAAUGAAGCAACCAACGUAGCUAGAGGUGUUAAUAAGCACAGCUGGAUUUUGCGUGUGUGUCUCUAUGUGAUGAUAGUGGGGUGAGUAACAAUAUUUUUACUCUAUUGGUUGGCCUCCUGGUAGUAAUAGAAUCAUGUUAGUUGCCUUGUCAGUCCUGUUCACACGUCCAUGUGACCGGCCAUCAUUUAGAAAUCAAGAUCGAUGCUGUACACGUUAGUGCCAUUACAAAGUAGAAAAAGAAAAAGAAAAAAGCAACCGCUUCAGUUCAAUUCACAAUUCCAAGUUUUUGCGCACUCGUGUUUUCUCAAGCACUCUAUCUAGCCCGGUAUAGUUGGGCAGUUUCAGAAUUGUAGAUACCAAUGAGGAUUUUAUCAUGCUUAUUGUCUCAAAUUAUUAAAUCUUAUAACUCUCUGAUAAGCUAGGUUAUUUUGACGUUGCAUGCCCCUCAUUCUCCAGUCUCAUGCAUGCGUGUGCUUUAGACUUUAGUUAUGCAUGUAUGAUUUUCCAAAAAGGGUUUCAUGGAGACGGAGCUCCAAAACGAACUGGGUUGGUGAGUUUAGCACCGCCAUAUAUUCUGAUAGAGUAAGGAUUAUAUUGUGGUAAUGUUCUUUCCCUCCGUUUGUCAUAUUUUGAAUCAAGAGGGUUUCAUUGUAAUUCUUAGUUAUAGGAGUUAUUUUAUAAUUUCUUGUAUCUAUGAUCGAAGCAUUGUAUCUAUGAUUUUGUUGAGUUUGAAUAAAGUCACAUGCCCUUCUGAGCCACGCGGAAUACCGCACCACCAAUCGCGCUCACGCUUGAGACCGCCGUCGCCGGUGGCUGAUCUCCCUCCUCUGGUCGCCUCCGGCCCAGCCAAGUACAGAUCCGGGACCCUCCCGACGUCCUCUCUCCAGCCAUCCCGAAGUUUGGCACCGUCUUCACCGGUUCUCUCCCCGCUGAGCGGCUCGAGUUGGGCCCUCCACCUCUCCCGGUCCCGGUCACGUGCGGCUGCGCGGCCGCAUCGGGGCGCCCCUGUGGGCCCGAGCAAGCCCCCUGCGCCUUUCUAUUCUCUCGCCUCCGCCGAAGCCGUCGCGGGGCAAAAUCCUGGCAGCAGGACCCCUCGGUCAUCGUUCUCGAGCGUGGGGGCGGCGCUACUCCAGGCGGUGAUGCUCCGGUGUCAGGGGAUCCUUCCUUGGCUUGUGGAGCUGCGGUGGCGGCGGUGAGCCACAAUUUUGGAUGGCGGCGCGGCGCCGUCGUUUAGGCCGGUGUCUCCGGUGGUCGUGGAGGUGCUGGUCGUCCGGUUAGAGGUGACGAGGUCAUGGCUGAUGCUGGAGGAUGUGGCUGGAGCUGAUGCGGGGUGUGCCGUUGCUACUACGGGGCGGAUCUAGCAGGCUUGCCGUGGUGGGCGCCAGAUCCGACCGGUUUGGCUGGCUCCGGCUCGCCGGCUUUUGCAGGCGGUGAGGUUGAUGGCUCCUGCGUGAGGGUGGCGUCGUCGUCGCGUAGGAGGUGUGUGGUACAGCGGGCUUGCAGACCAGUGGUGAUGCGCCACCGGUUGCAUGUGUGGGGGGGGGGGCUCAGCGAGGUGGCUCCAGGCGAAAUCCUAGACGGCACGACGUCCGUGAACGUCGUUUUUCCUCCUUGGGGGUCGUUGUGGAGCCCUUCCUUGCCCAACACCUUCGAACCAUGGACGCCCCCCCUUGGGGGCGUUGCCUUGAGGGUCACUGGUCUCUUCCGUGCUUUCCGGAGCUGGACACACACGACAUCGGGGUCGGCAGGUACCCGUCUGGCGAUGUGGUUGGCGCGACUUCUUGUGUGGUGACGAUGGCGGCUUCAAGCGAAGUUGGUUUGCUGUUGAGUUUUGGUAGUCGGUCUCAUCCCGCGUGUUCGAGGGGUUGCCGCGCCUCACUUUGUCUUCCUGGAGUCGGAGCUGCUGAGGCGGGGCCUUGCGACGACGAUGACGCGAGGCGGGUGGUCGAUUGUGGCGCUGGCUCGGCUCAGGCUCAGUUGUUUUCUCCUACAAUGCUCGUCGACAGAGUUGGAACUGCUUGGUAGUUGGCGUGUGCGGUUGACUGUUUGGCAGUGGCCGGCAUGGGCCUCGGUGUUUGCUUGUGGUGAGGGCUGUUUUGAUGGUCAUCGAUGAUGUAGUCGGAGUCGCCCUUGUGUAGGUGUGAUGAUGAUGACACCGGGUUGCAGCCUCGACGGUGUUCUCUCUUCGGCGACGUGUGUGCGUUCUUAUGUGGGUUGUCACGUCGCCAUGCGUAUCCUGUAUGGACGUGGUGUAGCAGGUUUCACUCGGUUUUUCGUUAAUUAACCCAGCAAUUCUCUUUUUCUUAAUUAAUGGGAUGAGACAAUGCUUUUGCCUGCGUUUAAAAAAACACUAGCUAGCCGACAGUUUGUUCAAUGCGUGCUGUCAUUUUGCACAAAUGCCUAUGUCUCUACCUACUGUGAGGCGCUCACUUGUUGGGAUGUGGUGCGGGCUGUGGUCCGGUUGCGGUGGAGGAGUAACAUUAGUUUGUUUCGUGCAAUUUUCAAAACAUUUCGUCGGAGUUUUUUUCCUGUUUUCUUUAUUGGGUUUCUUUUUUUUCAUUUUCCCUUUUACUUUUUCUGUUCAUUUAUUUCAUGUAUUGUUUUGUAUUUUAUUUUUCCAUAUUUCAAAUACAGCUUGAUUUUUUUUUCAAAAUAGUAAACAUUUUAAAGUAACCAUAGAAUAUUUUCUAAUACAUGUUUGAACGUUUUAUAAGUACAUGGUGAACAAUUUUUAUAUACAAUGAAUAUUUCUCUAAAAACUGCAAGAACACAUUCUGUUUAUUUAAUGAACAUUUUUAUAUUGCCAUGACCAAUUUUAUAAACAUGCGAAAAAAAUUAAAAUGUAGUGUUUUUUUGGAACAAUGCGAAUAUGAAUUUUAAAACUCUGGAAUAAUUUUUAAGACAAGUUGACAUUUUUUAUUUUUUUACGAGAAAACUUCGGAUGUAUUUAUCCAUUGUCAUGUUAGUAUAAGAAUACCAGAACUAACAUAACUUACAUUCAGAUCCAUAGACCAUCUAACGAUGUCUACAAUCACUUGAUCAAGCCGAAAGUGCACCAUGAUCCUCACUCCUCCCUCAUCGGAGUCGGACAAUGUCCAGUCAUGUUUUUUUUACAAACUGUUAAUCAUGUAUGAAUUUUUCUAUUGUGUAUUUCAAAAUUAUCAUGGAUUUUUAAAAAAUAUUGUGCAUUUUUAGAAAAACUGUUAUUUCAAAGGUUCAUCAUGUAUGAAAAGAAAUCUUCAUCAUAAAUUGUUCAAAUUGUCCACAGUGUAUAAAUUCAGAAAAAUAUGAAGACUUUUUAAUUCUAUGUGUAUUUGAAAAAUGUUUAAUAUUUUGAAACGUUUUAUAAAUACACGAUGAAUAUUUUUAAGUAUAUUAACAGCUAUUAUACUGCAUGAUCACCUAUCAAUAGUACAAACCCAUAUAUUUUAUACGCGAUGAAAAAAUCUGUUAAUAAUAAUUUUCAUGGUGCCUUUUCUUGGAAAUCUUGACCUAGGGUGUAGUUACCUUUCACACAUAUCCGAUAUAUAUUUAAGUAAGUCAUCCCAUUUAAAUGCACAUGCAUGUCAAUCACAUUAUGAAGGGUAUGCAACCAAUAAACUUCCACUUACCACUUUUCAUCACAUGCAGGUCCUCGAUAUCAUCAAGCGUGCAUGUAAUCAUUCGACGUUUCACUUCUCAUCAUAUGCAAGUUCCACAUCAUCAAACACAUGAAAGCUCUUCACCUCAUUAUUUUUUACUAUUUAUUUUUUAGCAACAAAUAAUUGAACUUGAAGGUCACAAGAAAAUAUAUUAUGCGUGCACCCUCUAGUUACAUCUAGGUUUUCUAUUGCCAUAUGCUGAGAAUGUUGUGUGGUAUUAUUCCUACAUAUGCUAUUUUUCAUAAUUUCAUUGCUAUAAAUUUUCGUGACAAUGUGUGUGACGUUUACCUAGUAGUAGCAGAGCCAGCUUACUCACACAGCCUGGGCAUAAAUAUAACAGCGUGCCUAGAACUUAUCUAGACCAGAUAUAAUUUAGUCGCAUUCAUCUAGAAAAUCAAAACAGAUACAAAGUAGUACUACAACUCACGUCGGCACACGCACAUCUUAUAGUCACAUCCAAUGACUAUAAAAGAUGAACGAGACAUAACUAAAAUUCAGUUAGAUGAGUUUUAGCAAAACCGUAAAUAUAACGCACUCGGUCGGGACUUACUUCGUAGGUGAAGGGUAGAGAAGAAGGCCACUGUCUUGCGUGUGAGUGCACUUUAUACAUCUAGAACACCAGACACGUAUACAUAUGUGAUAUGUCUGCUGCUAGGAAGUCAUUCUCUUCUCUUUUGUUGACAUUAGCUUUCCCCCCAAAAAAGACCAUAUAAUAUGAAACAAUCACAUAGAGAGAAAAUAACAGGGACUGCACCCCAUAGAGAAAACAACAUAGACUGCAGUCCACUGACAAAAUAGCUCAUUUAUGUUUUGUUGUUUGGAAAAGGAGGUUCAAACCCCCGGCCUCUGCAUCAAUCGAUGCAUACGGUAGCUCAUUUAUGUGAAUACAAUCAUGCGUAGAUACUCCAAAGAACAACAAGUCGAGUCACAAUGUCCCAUACAAAGUAGAUGAACAUAUACCAACAAGCAAAUACUAGUAAUUACAGAGUACUAGUACUCAUCACGCGUAUAUGGAAAAAUAGAAUGAAAUGGAAUACAGGGAAUACUACUACACCACUUAUUCUAGAAAUAGCACAGUGGGGCUUGGUACGGGGUCUCCUCCUCCAUCAACUCUCAUAUAUAAGUAUCCCAUCAGUCGUGAGCUGCCGGUGGUUUGCACUUCGGAGGUGGUUCAGGUUUAGGCUCGGGCUCCGGCUUUGGUUCGGGUUUCGGCAUCGGCUCGGGCUUAGGAUCUGGCUUUGGUUUGGAGCAGGGCUCAGGCUUUGGUUUUGGCAUUGGCUUGGGCUUGGGUUCUGGUUCGGGCUUCUCUCCAGGCUUUUCUUCAGGCUUUGGUUUCGGCAUCGGUUCAGGUUUGCAGGGCUCUGGCUCUGGUUGUGGUGUAGGUUUGGACAUUGGCUCUGGUUUGGGUUCUGGCUUUGGCUCUAUCUCUGCAAAAAUUUCGACAGCAGGAAGGCCUCGGUCAGCCGCGGCAGCUUGGUUGAGAGUGGAGGCUGCAACUACCCCAAUGAGGAUCAUGGCGAGGAGGCGAUGCCUCGCCAUUGCUGCCUACUUCUUGUGCUUGCAGCUAGUGUUGCACACCUGCUGUGCUUUGUGUGUGGUUGUGUGUGUUGUGUGGAGAACUGGAGAUACAUAUUGUGUGGUUUUAUAGGCUGGGUGAAACAAAGCAGAUCUGGAGGCUGCAUUAAUUAGCAUUGGUUGAUUAGUUGAGUACAAAUGAAGCAACAACCAACGUAGCUAGAGGUGUUAAUAAGAACAGUUGGAUUUUGCCUGAGUGUGUCUCUAAUGCGAUGAUAGUAGGGUGAGUAACAAUAUUUUUACUCUAUUGGUUGCCUCCCGGUAGUAAUAGAAUUCUGUUAGUUGCCUUGUUAAUCUUGUUCACACGUCCUUGUUAGUUGCAUCAUUUAGAAAAAUCAAGAUCGACAGUGUACACGUUAGAGUAAUGCACUACAAGUAAAAAAGCAAUCGCUUGAGUUCAAUUCACAAUGAAAAGUGAAGGUAGUCUUUGAAGAGGAACUGGCUUGAUCGUACGUGCACGUCGUGUGUGAGCUUCACCACCUGUUGGAAACCCUCAAGACUCCUUGGUCUGCUUCCUCGACCGAGUUUUCACGAACUCUGCUGUGUUUUCUCAAGUGGUUUUCAAGAAGGUGGCGUUGGAUUAAUCCAUGCACAAGUUUUGCCAGAUUAUGCUGAAUGAUAUAACAAAAGUGAAGGUGUACAUCAUUUGAUGUCGAUGACGGGGUUCCUCCUUUAACAAAUAAGUGUUUUCUCAAACACUCCCUCUGGCCGGUAUACUGGGCACAGUUCCAAAAUUGUAGAUAUCAAUGAGGAUUUUAUCACGCUUAUUGUCUUAAAUUAUUAAAUCUUAUUAACUCUCCGACAAACUAAGAGCAACUCUAACAGAUCGUGUAUUCUAUGAAACUGUAGAUGUGAUUUAUAGUUCGCACAGCAGGAUCUAUACAGGCUGAAAAUUACAGCGGUAGAAUAGAAACCGUAAAAGAAACUCAAAUUUGCUUGUUGGCUUGAUGACGUGAGUCUCGCCGCCUCCUUCUCCCCUAAUAAUAAAGCAACUAACGCUUCGGUCGUCCGUCGUCGCCGAUCGCAGGACGUUUUGCAGAAAGGCUCCUAAGGUUUUAGGUAUUCAACCCGCGGUCCCUUUUAAGUGGUAUCUGAGAAAACGUUUCAGUUUUGCAAAUUAACCACUGCAUCUCGUGAGAAUUCGAUCCGCACUCCUUUGUUCUAUCUUCUCUAGUGGUGGAGAAGGUGGAAGGGGAAUAACUUCAGCUCGGCUCGUCGGCGAGCGUGUUGCAGGAGGCCGACGAGGAGGCCAGUGGGCGUUGUGCGCUUACAGGGGAGCGGGUAGGCCGGAGGUGGAGGGGAUGGCCGGAGGCUGAGGGCAGUGGAGAGAGAGGCCGAGAGAGUCGGCCCGAGGGAGGGGGGACUGAGAGAAAGAGAGAGAGAGUGUGUGUGUGAGCCGGAGAGGGGCGGUCGCCGGAGCCGGACCUCCAGAACAACGACGCAACAAUCUGGAUGGCACAACGGCUUUGAUCCCGGAGAAUGGUGAUUGAUGGCUGCCAACAGACGGAUCCGGGCGAAGGAGGCUCUGAGAGGCGCAUGGAAGGCUGUCAAGGUUGGGGGCGCCGGAUCCAGAGUUCGCAUGGUGAGAGAUGGGGAGAGGGUAGAAUCUUGCUAGUAUAAGACGAGUUAGAGAAGCGGCAACGCCUGCAGAACAGAGCAUGAAGGCAGCUCCUUUUGAGGAGGCGACGACGGACGACAGAGCUCGUGACUGCGACCUUCUCGGCUCCUGCCGGCGUGGUCACUCAAUUCGCUCCACGGCGCGAUGGCCCAUUGCCGGCAAGGCAGCGUUCUGCAACGCACCAGCCUGCAAUGGAGGCGGUGUCCAUGGUGCAGCCGUGGCCUUCAGCGCACACCGCGGGGGAAGUGCUACCGGACACCGGCUUGGCCCCGAUGCUGCUCCUCCCAGACGGUGGUACCCAUGGCCUGGCCCACUAGCCCCCGACUGAGCUCCCAGCAGAGGCGCACAUCGAUGGAGGCUUCGAGCAGGCCGCUCUGCCAUGCUUGUGCAAUGGGGGUCUGCCCGCGUGCUGGGGUGGGGAUGCACGGAUGGACAGAUCCUGGCAGUGGCUGCCACGGUGGCCGGGCACUAAGUACCGGAGUGAUUCGUGGGUGCAGCACGGACAGCUGUUGUGAGGAGCACAGCCAGGCAUCAGCGCUGGUCUCCUCUUCUCUGUAGCUGCAGGAGGAAUGGUGAUGUUUUGGAUAAGGGUCACGUAGUGCGCAGUUAGGUGAAGAUUUAGUGCCUAUUGCUAUUUUUUGAUCAAUAGUUGUUGGUAGAUGUACACGGACUUAAGCUGCUGGAUACUUCGGUGCUCAUCCCGUUGGAUUUAUAUGCGAUUGUUCGUGACGUUCCAACAAAUUGUUAUUUGCUAGAUGUUCUUUUUCACAUUAGUUCAUUAUAAUUAUUUGAUUGUACCGCCUUAUAGAGCAUCUACAACCGGACUUAACAAAUCUGACCUCUCAAACGUUCAUGGAAACGUCCGGACGCAUCUGCGGACGUUGAUCAAUUAAGCCUCAAAUAACGAAUUCUACAACCGGAUACUUUAAAUUAGAAACCUCAAAUAUAUAUUAUUACAUGCAACAUAAAUCUAAUAUUAAGCGUGGCUCGUUUGGGUCCGCCCUGUCCAUGUCGAAAGGCUAGAUAUGCCCUUCAUAGUGUCCGUCCGAUCGUUAGCAAGGUAGAGUAGGACAUGGGACACUGGCCGGUUCAUGGAAGUCGAGUUUCCGUCGUCUUCCAUGCCCAAUUCUUCCUUAAAUUUAUCACUUAGUGUUACUACAGAACAAUCCAACCGUCAACUGCAAAGUUAGUAUACGGAACUACAUGAUCAGCUUCAAGGAGCAUGUCUACGUGCUCCAACACUAGCGCAUUCAUGAAUAUUUGUUUAUAAUUUGUACAAAAACUUAUUUGGACUUAUUUAAAAUUGUAAACAUUCUAAUGAUCCUAUUUUAUAAUGUUUGUAUAAGUAAAAUCAAAUUUCAUGGCUAAAAGAAAUACUCAGUGUAACCUUACUUCUAAAGCUUGCAAAAAUUAGAUUAAAAUAAUAUUGCAUAAUGACACAGGAAGAAAAUUAUAUUUAACAUUUCGGCCGGUGCAACGGCACGGGCAUUUGUAUUAGUAGAUGUCUAUGACAGCAAGGCACGAACUUGUCACUCCCCGUAGGCAUAUUACCAGUGCCACCCAUUCGUCGAAGCAUGUUAAAUGUUAGCGCACUAAUUUAUAAAAAAAUAAUUUGUGCAUUUACUUUUGUUGUCAGUUUUAGGAUUAAUAUAAUGUUGCUUAAAAAUAUUUGUCGGGUGCUGAAAAAAGGGGAAAAGGACGAUCAAUUUGCCAACUUCACACAAGGGCUCUCAAAAUCAUAGAGCCGACCCUGCCAGCACCAUGUGACUUGUGAGAGAUUAUUAUGGCUUCUCGUAUGUUGUGUAGCACUAUCAUUAAGAGCAAUUCUAGCAGACCCUGCAUCCGCCCCCGAUCUGCAAAAUAACCGCUAAAAUGCGGGUACGGACCGAAAAGCCUGUCCGACCAGACCCUGCAUCCCAUCCCGGCCCGUAAAUUUUUUUCAGGGGCGCGGCAAAUUCUCGACCCCAACCCGGGAAAACACGGGUUUCCCCCUCGCGGCUGCGGUGCCCUGCAUCACAGAGAAGCAGUUGGCGGGAGGGACAUUUCAGCCCGUGCUCUUUUCCCCCUCCUUCCGCCGCCGCCCACCCUUGCUUCCGCUCGCCCGCCGCCGGCGAUUCCGGCCAUAUCUGCAGGCGAGCCGCUGCAUCGCCCCUCCAGAUCCGGCGAGAAGAGUCGCCCCCCCCCACCGCCGGGGAUCGACCACCGUCAAGCGCACCCCCUCGUCGCCGCCCGGGAUCACCCGCCACCGGUUAGUCCCCUUUUUGCGAUUUUUGCGAGCUGUGCGAGAAGAUGGAGUUGACCCCGUGCGAGAAGUUUUUACUAUCCGAUUCGUCCGAUUCGGACGACUCGUAUGUUGAGACCAUGCUUGCGAUCUUUCGGCAGCAAACAUUAGUCAUGGCGCUUGCCGUGAAGGAGCAUGAAGACGAGCACUGGAAGAGGAGGCGAGGAUCGAUUGUCGGGCGCUUGUGCAUUCCUCGAAAUCGCCAUCUUGGGAACGAGAUGUUGAUGCAAGACUAUUUCGCGGAGAAUCCUACAUAUCCUCCGCACCUCUUCCGGAGAAGGUACCGAAUGCGCCGAUCCCUCUUUGUGAAACUUGUUCAAGCUUGCGAGGCAAAUUGCCGGUAUUUUACUCAAAGAAGGAAUGUCGCGGGCUGAAAGGCUUGGUUGUUGUUGUUGUUGUUGUUGUUGUAAGGAAUGCUGCGGGCUUAAAGGGAUUUAGUGCAUAUCAAAAAAUCUCCGCACCUAUGGGGGGUGAUUGCAUAUGGCGUUCCGGCUGACUAUGCCGAUGAGUAUCUUCGUAUUGGUGAAUAUAGCACAAUUGAGUCUGUGCGUAGAUUUGCGAAAGUGAUCAUCCGUGUCUUCGGUCCUGAGUAUCUUCGGGCACCCAAUGAAGGACACAAAGAAAUUGAUGGCAUCUGAUGAGAGGAGAGGUUGGCCUGGCAUGCUAGGUAGCAUUGAUUGUAUGCAUUGAAAUUGGAAAAAUUGCCCCAAGGCUUGGCAAAGAAUGUAUUGUGGCAAGUCUAGUGAUGCAACAAUUGUGCUAGAGGCCGUAGCAUCUGAAGAUUUAUGGAUUUGACAUUGCUUUUUUGGUAUGUCGGGAACUCUCAAUGAUAUCAUUGUGUUGCAACGGUCUCAUUUAUUUGCUAGGCUUGCUAGUGGUGAUGCUCCUGCUUGCAACUACAUUAUCAAUGGGCAUGAAUACACAAAGGGGUACUAUCUUGCAGAUGGUAUGUAC